GCUAAACAUCUAGCUUAAACACAAAAACCAAUGCAAUAAUAUACAAAAACUUUACUAAACUAAAAAUCACAAAAAUAAAACAUUUUUCCGCCCUAGUAUGAGUGACAGAAAAAGCUCCUGAAAGCCAUAAAAUAGUACCGCAAGGGAAAGAUGAAAAAGAAAAUGAAAUAAACCAUUUAAGCCAAAAAAAGCAGAGAUUAAACCUCGUACCUUUCGCAUCAUGAUUUAGCCAGACACCCUGAGCAAAGAGCACUUUAGUUCACCUCCCCGAAACUAGAUGAGCUACCCCGAGACAGCCUACUAUAAGGGCCAACCCAUCUCUGUGGCAAAAGAGUGGGAAGAUCUCCGGGUAGAGGUGAUAAGCCUACCGAAUCUAGUUAUAGCUGGUUGCCUAAGAAAUGAAUAGAAGUUCAGCCUCGUCUUCCCCAACUCAAAAAUUCAUUAUUCACAAGAGUACGAGAAACGCACGAGAGUUAGUCAGAGGGGGAACAGCCCCUCAGACAAGGGACACAACCCUAUCAGGAGGUUAAAGAUUAUAAUAAAUAAGAUUCCUGUCCAAGUGGGCCUAAAAGCAGCCACCUAUGUAGAAAGCGUCAAAGCUCAAACAGACUAAAACCCCAUUAUUAAAAUAAUCUAAUCCUAAACCCCUAACUAUAUUAGGCCUCUCUAUGCACACAUAGAAGAGACACUGCUAAAAUGAGUAAUAAGAAGAUACCCUCUUCUCCUGACCCACGUGUAUGCUAGAACGGACCACCCACUAGCCAUUAACGAACCCACCCAAAGAGGGCAAUAUGGCCAUAAAUAUAACCAAGAAAAAACCAUAUAUCUCAUCGUUAAUCCCACACCGGAGGACUACAAGGAAAGACUAAAAGAAAAGGAAGGAACUCGGCAAGCACAAGCCUCGCCUGUUUACCAAAAACAUCGCCUCCCGCAAGAUAACAUAUGGGAGGUCUUACCUGCCCAGUGACUACAGGUUAAACGGCCGCGGUAUUUUAACCGCGCAAACGUAGCGCAAUCACUUGUCUUUUAAAUGAAGACCCGUAUGAACGGUGAAACGAGGGCUUAACUGUCUCCCUUUUCCAGUCAAUGAAAUUGAUCUGCCCGUGCAGAAGCGGGCCUAAUAAUACAAGACGAGAAGACCCUUUGGAGCUUAAGAUAAAGACCACCUAUACUACGACCAAAACCCAAACAUAGCCCUGGUUCACAUCUUCGGUUGGGACAACCACGAGAGAAAACAAAGCUCUCAUGCGGACAGGGAAUACCCUAAAGCCAAGAAAAACAUCUCUAAGACACAGAACAUCUGACCACACUGAUCCGGCCCACCCGCCGACCAACGAACCAAGUUACCCUAGGGAUAACAGCGCAAUCCCCUUUCAGAGUCCCUAUCGACAAGGGGGUUU
rnacentral:rRNA from 1 species